rnacentral:rRNA from 1 species
AGUUUGAUCCUGGCUCAGAUUGAACGCUGGCGGCAGGCCUAACACAUGCAAGUCGAACGGUAACAGGAAACAGCUUGCUGUUUCGCUGACGAGUGGCGGACGGGUGAGUAAUGUCUGGGAAACUGCCUGAUGGAGGGGGAUAACUACUGGAAACGGUAGCUAAUACCGCAUAACGUCGCAAGACCAAAGAGGGGGACCUUCGGGCCUCUUGCCAUCGGAUGUGCCCAGAUGGGAUUAGCUUGUUGGUGGGGUAACGGCUCACCAAGGCGACGAUCCCUAGCUGGUCUGAGAGGAUGACCAGCCACACUGGAACUGAGACACGGUCCAGACUUCCUAGGGGAACCCACCAGGUGGGAAUUAUUGCCACAAGGGGCCCCAACCCUUGAUGCACCCAUCCCCGCGUGUAAGAAGAAGCCCUUUCGGGUUUAUAAAGUUCUUUUCAGCGGGGAGAGAAGGGGAGUAAAGUUAAACCCUUUGCCUCAUUGACGUUACCCGCAGAAAGAGCACCGGGUUAACUCCGUGCCAGCAGCCGCGGUAAUACGGAGGGUGCAAGCGUUAAUCGGAAUUACUGGGCGUAAAGCGCACGCAGGCGGUUUGUUAAGUCAGAUGUGAAAUCCCCGGGCUCAACCUGGGAACUGCAUCUGAUACUGGCAAGCUUGAGUCUCGUAGAGGGGGGUAGAAUUCCAGGUGUAGCGGUGAAAUGCGUAGAGAUCUGGAGGAAUACCGGUGGCGAAGGCGGCCCCCUGGACGAAGACUGACGCUCAGGUGCGAAAGCGUGGGGAGCAAACAGGAUUAGAUACCCUGGUAGUCCACGCCGUAAACGAUGUCGACUUGGAGGUUGUGCCCUUGAGGCGUGGCUUCCGGAGCUAACGCGUUAAGUCGACCGCCUGGGGAGUACGGCCGCAAGGUUAAAACUCAAAUGAAUUGACGGGGGCCCGCACAAGCGGUGGAGCAUGUGGUUUAAUUCGAUGCAACGCGAAGAACCUUACCUGGUCUUGACAUCCACGGAAGUUUUCAGAGAUGAGAAUGUGCCUUCGGGAACCGUGAGACAGGUGCUGCAUGGCUGUCGUCAGCUCGUGUUGUGAAAUGUUGGGUUAAGUCCCGCAACGAGCGCAACCCUUAUCCUUUGUUGCCAGCGGUCCGGCCGGGAACUCAAAGGAGACUGCCAGUGAUAAACUGGAGGAAGGUGGGGAUGACGUCAAGUCAUCAUGGCCCUUACGACCAGGGCUACACACGUGCUACAAUGGCGCAUACAAAGAGAAGCGACCUCGCGAGAGCAAGCGGACCUCAUAAAGUGCGUCGUAGUCCGGAUUGGAGUCUGCAACUCGACUCCAUGAAGUCGGAAUCGCUAGUAAUCGUGGAUCAGAAUGCCACGGUGAAUACGUUCCCGGGCCUUGCACACACCGCCCGUC